rnacentral:rRNA from 1 species
UUAAGCGACUAAGCGUACACGGUGGAUGCCCUGGCAGUCAGAGGCGAUGAAGGACGUGCUAAUCUGCGAUAAGCGCCGGUAAGGUGAUAUGAACCGUUAUAACCGGCGAUUUCCGAAUGGGGAAACCCAGUGUGACUCGUCACACUAUCAUUAACUGAAUCCAUAGGUUAAUGAGGCGAACCGGGGGAACUGAAACAUCUAAGUACCCCGAGGAAAAGAAAUCAACCGAGAUUCCCCCAGUAGCGGCGAGCGAACGGGGAGGAGCCCAGAGCCUGAAUCAGCAUGUGUGUUAGUGGAAGCGUCUGGAAAGGCGCGCGAUACAGGGUGACAGCCCCGUACACAAAAGCGCAUGUGCUGUGAGCUCGAUGAGUAGGGCGGGACACGUGGUAUCCUGUCUGAAUAUGGGGGGACCAUCCUCCAAGGCUAAAUACUCCUGACUGACCGAUAGUGAACCAGUACCGUGAGGGAAAGGCGAAAAGAACCCCGGCGAGGGGAGUGAAAAAGAACCUGAAACCGUGUACGUACAAGCAGUGGGAGCACAGGUUUACCUGUGUGACUGCGUACCUUUUGUAUAAUGGGUCAGCGACUUAUAUUCUGUAGCAAGGUUAACCGUAUAGGGGAGCCGGAGGGAAACCGAGUCUUAAUUGGGCGUUAAGUUGCAGGGUAUAGACCCGAAACCCGGUGAUCUAGCCAUGGGCAGGUUGAAGGUUGGGUAACACUAACUGGAGGACCGAACCGACUAAUGUUGAAAAAUUAGCGGAUGACCUGUGGCUGGGGGUGAAAGGCCAAUCAAACCGGGAGAUAGCUGGUUCUCCCCGAAAGCUAUUUAGGUAGCGCCUCGUGAAUUCAUCUCCGGGGGUAGAGCACUGUUUCGGCUAGGGGGCCAUCCCGGCUUACCAACCCGAUGCAAACUGCGAAUACCGGAGAAUGUUAUCACGGGAGACACACGGCGGGUGCUAACGUCCGUCGUGAAGAGGGAAACAACCCAGACCGCCAGCUAAGGUCCCAAAGUCAUGGUUAAGUGGGAAACGAUGUGGGAAGGCCCAGACAGCCAGGAUGUUGGCUUAGAAGCAGCCAUCAUUUAAAGAAAGCGUAAUAGCUCACUGGUCGAGUCGGCCUGCGCGGAAGAUGUAACGGGGCUAAACCAUGCACCGAAGCUGCGGCAGCGAACGUAUCACCCAAGACAACUUUACGGAGUUGACGAUUGACGGAGCGAAGCGACGUCAAAGCGUUCAUUAAAGUCGAGUUGGCUUAGGGAUACGUUCGUUGGGUAGGGGAGCGUUCUGUAAGCCUGUGAAGGUGUGUCGUGAGGCAUGCUGGAGGUAUCAGAAGUGCGAAUGCUGACAUAAGUAACGAUAAAGCGGGUGAAAAGCCCGCUCGCCGGAAGACCAAGGGUUCCUGUCCAACGUUAAUCGGGGCAGGGUGAGUCGACCCCUAAGGCGAGGCCGAAAGGCGUAGUCGAUGGGAAACGGGUUAAUAUUCCCGUACUUGGUGUUACUGCGAAGGGGGGACGGAGAAGGCUAUGUUGGCCGGGCGACGGUUGUCCCGGUUUAAGCGUGUAGGCUGGUUUUCCAGGCAAAUCCGGAAAAUCAAGGCUGAGGCGUGACGACGAGGCACUACGGUGCUGAAGCAACAAAUGCCCUGCUUCCAGGAAAAGCCUCUAAGCAUCAGGUAACAUCAAAUCGUACCCCAAACCGACACAGGUGGUCAGGUAGAGAAUACCAAGGCGCUUGAGAGAACUCGGGUGAAGGAACUAGGCAAAAUGGUGCCGUAACUUCGGGAGAAGGCACGCUGACAUGUAGGUGAAGUGAUUUACUCAUGGAGCUGAAGUCAGUCGAAGAUACCAGCUGGCUGCAACUGUUUAUUAAAAACACAGCACUGUGCAAACACGAAAGUGGACGUAUACGGUGUGACGCCUGCCCGGUGCCGGAAGGUUAAUUGAUGGGGUCAGCGCAAGCGAAGCUCCUGAUCGAAGCCCCGGUAAACGGCGGCCGUAACUAUAACGGUCCUAAGGUAGCGAAAUUCCUUGUCGGGUAAGUUCCGACCUGCACGAAUGGCGUAAUGAUGGCCAGGCUGUCUCCACCCGAGACUCAGUGAAAUUGAACUCGCUGUGAAGAUGCAGUGUACCCGCGGCAAGACGGAAAGACCCCGUGAACCUUUACUAUAGCUUGACACUGAACAUUGAGCCUUGAUGUGUAGGAUAGGUGGGAGGCUUUGAAGCGUGGACGCCAGUCUGCGUGGAGCCGACCUUGAAAUACCACCCUUUAAUGUUUGAUGUUCUAACGUGGACCCGUAAUCCGGGUUGCGGACAGUGUCUGGUGGGUAGUUUGACUGGGGCGGUCUCCUCCUAAAGAGUAACGGAGGAGCACGAAGGUUGGCUAAUCCUGGUCGGACAUCAGGAGGUUAGUGCAAUGGCAUAAGCCAGCUUGACUGCGAGCGUGACGGCGCGAGCAGGUGCGAAAGCAGGUCAUAGUGAUCCGGUGGUUCUGAAUGGAAGGGCCAUCGCUCAACGGAUAAAAGGUACUCCGGGGAUAACAGGCUGAUACCGCCCAAGAGUUCAUAUCGACGGCGGUGUUUGGCACCUCGAUGUCGGCUCAUCACAUCCUGGGGCUGAAGUAGGUCCCAAGGGUAUGGCUGUUCGCCAUUUAAAGUGGUACGCGAGCUGGGUUUAGAACGUCGUGAGACAGUUCGGUCCCUAUCUGCCGUGGGCGCUGGAGAACUGAGGGGGGCUGCUCCUAGUACGAGAGGACCGGAGUGGACGCAUCACUGGUGUUCGGGUUGUCAUGCCAAUGGCACUGCCCGGUAGCUAAAUGCGGAAGAGAUAAGUGCUGAAAGCAUCUAAGCACGAAACUUGCCCCGAGAUGAGUUCUCCCUGAGACUUUAGGUCUCCUGAAGGAACGUUGAAGACGACGACGUUGAUAGGCCGGGUGUGUAAGCGCAGCGAUGCGUUGAGCUAACCGGUACUAAUGAACCGUGAGGCUUAACCUU